rnacentral:rRNA from 1 species
GAUGAACGCUGGCGGCGUGCCUAAUACAUGCAAGUCGAGCGAACAGACGAGGAGCUUGCUCCUUUGACGUUAGCGGCGGACGGGUGAUUAACACGUAGUUAACCUACCUAUAAAACUGGGAUAACUUCGGGAAACCGGAGCUAAUACCGGAUAAUAUUUCGAACCGCAUGGUUCAAUAGUGAAAGUUGGCUUUGCUAUCACUUAUACAGGAACCUGCGCCGUAUUAGCUAGUUGGUAAGGUAACGGCUUACCAAGGCAACGAUACGUAGCCGACCUGAGAGGGUGAUCGGCCACACUGGAACUGAGACACGGUCCAGACUCCUACGGGAGGCAGCAGUAGGGAAUCUUCCGCAAUGGGCGAAAGCCUGACGGAGCAACGCCGCGUGAGUGAUGAAGGUCUUCGGAUCGUAAAACUCUGUUAUUAGGGAAGAACAAACGUGUAAGUAACUGUGCACGUCUUGACGGUACCUAAUCAGAAAGCCACGGCUAACUACGUG